UAAAAUAUUAAAAGUUGAUGUUUUCCCGAAAAAGAGAAAUUUGUGCAGGACCCUUAAAGAUAUUUAGGGUAAAUUAGAAUCAUAUGAAAGAAGAUGGGUGAAUAAGGCAUGUAAACUGCCCAUAUGAGGAUAGAUAAAAUACUAUAAAAUUGAAAUAUUUUCAAAUGCCAUAAUUUCCUUCUAAAUUAUUGAAAACAAUGUAUAUUUACCAUAACAUGGAUUUAUAACCCUUAAAUAUUUUAAACAAUUAGAAUAGGUUGAUUUAAAAUGCCGUAUGCAUGUCAAAACCUCCAAAUAGUGUCAUUUUUAGAACUUCAAUGCCUUUCUUAUAUAGAGUGGGUCUGAGCUCCAUAUUUUUGUCAUAGUCUAUAUAAGGUUAAAAGGAAAUGAAACUGACUUCAAUCAGCGAAAACAUUUUGUAUUGCAACAAUUGAACAUUUUAGAAAAAUAAUACAAGUCUUGAAAUUUGUGGUUGAAGUUGAAUAUAGCAUUUAACAAUUAAGUUUGUUGUGACUGAUAUGGCUCAGUGGUUGGAGCACCAGACAUUAGGUAACAUUAUAGAGCUAGGGUUUUAGGUUGUGGGUUCGAGACCACCAAAACUUAAUAAUUUAUCUAUUUUUUUAUCGUGGAUUUUUAAUAUUCAAAACUGAAUAUAGUUAGAAAUUGUGCCUUUGUAAACUUGAAUUAUCACACUAAACAAAUGGGCAUUUGCGCUAUCUUGUUCCCCCAUCUUCUUUAUUCUGGCACCCAGGAGUUAAAUAUUUACUUCCAAUGAGUAUUUUCUCAUAAAAUUCUUGAAAGAAUUAACAAUUCAUUUUUCUUCAUAAUUUAUAAAACAGUGCUUGAUAGUUAAAAUACUGGUAAUAUCAGUGUAAAAGCUAACUUUGUGAUGUGUGCCAAGUUUAAAGAUGUGUCAGAUAUCAUUACAUUACAUGUUUGAUGAAAUUGAUAGAGAAAAAUAAAUGUUUCAUUGAAUAUAAGUCAUUCGAAUCAUCCAUUUUUGACAGAAGUUGGAGGGUUAACUAGGUGGAAAGGAAAUCAAUAGGCAAUAGUGAUGAUUAAAGGGACAUUAAUUCAGACAUUUUUUUUCCAAUUCAUAUGUUAUUUAUAAUUGUAUUAAAGUCUGGAAACAAC
rnacentral:misc_RNA from 1 species